GGAGAAGUGGCCGAGUGGCUGAAGGCAGCCGCCUGCUAAGCGGUUAAGGGGUGUCAAGCUCCUUCCCGGGUUCGAAUCCCGGCUUCUCCGCCA
rnacentral:tRNA from 1 species